AGACCUACGAAGGUUAACCAACGAAAAAAGACCCACAAAGGUUAACCAGCGACAAAAAAACCUAAACCUAUCGCCCCCUCCCUCGCGCCCCUGUUGCUCCCUCCUCGAUCUCGAUCUGGAUCGAGGGGGCGAGGAGCUCCUGCCUCCCCGACGGCCGGCCUCCUCCUCGCCCUGCCGCUGCGUCCGGCGCUGCCACGGCCUCUGGAGCCAGGGAAGCCAUGGCCUGAGCUCGGCCUCGAGGUCCCCGCCGCCGUCUCCUGCAGCUUCUGCCCCGCCGCCCGAGCUCGCCGUCGCACCAACCUCGGCGCCGCGCCGCCGCCGGCUCUGGUCGCCUCCACCUCCGCUCCAGGCAACCCUCGGUCGCCAGCUCGCUGGAGCACGACGGCAGACGAUGGAUGCCUUGGUUGUGUGCGACGGAUGCAGUUCUCACGCGCAAGCUAGGGUUGGAGCCGCCAGCUCUUCAUCCUGCCCGCCGGCGGCGAGUCUUCCCGUCCCGCACUGCCGCCUCCCCGUUAUCACAGAAGUUGGUGGCAUGGUGAAGCCCCUGAGCAAAAGUUGCAGGAGUCUUUGAAGGAGUUGGAGAAGUCUCUAGCGAUGCAAGUUUGUCUUAAACCUCGUGGCCAGGAUCUCCGCGGUCGGCAUCGGCGUCGGCGUCGUCUACGGCUCCGUCAGGCUCGACAUCCUCAAGGCAACGCUCCAAAUCCCCCAACCCCACGCUCCAAAUCAUUCUCAUUUUUGCACACGGGAAAUAUUCAGGGAAGGAACUUUAGAUGCAAAAUACUGAGAUGCUUUCUGCUUGAAAACUAUAGUCAAAAGUUGAUUCACAGAAGUUCAGAAGUUCAGUCCAGAUGCCAAGGCAUGCUUAGCAUCUCAUAGUCAGAGGCUAUCCUGUCUCAACAUUGCCCCUAUGCAGGUUUUCAAUUUAGGAGAUUAUUUGCACCUAUCCAUUUACUCUAAUGUAUUACAUACUAAUCCUUUUGGAGGCAAGAACGGAAGAAAAAUCUGGUGAUGUCUCCACGAGUCAAGUUAUAUAACCGUUUCUGACUUGAAGGAAUAUUUGUGGGAUUUCAAUCAUUAGGAAGUUAGAGGGCAUCUGCAGCUUGGCAAAGUAGAUGUUGUUGACAUCAAUUAUUAAUUGUUAUUUUAUAACGUUCCAUCAUUUUGUUUUUACACUUUUUGCAGGUACUAGCAAUGUUUUACCAUUGACAGAGCAUUGUGAAUAUGGUAACAGACUACUUGGGUGUUCUGAAAUCGAAUUCUGUAUAUAAUAUAAGUAUAUACCAUGACAUGUGCUACUGCUUCCGAUUAGAUACAAUAGCUUCUCUCUUUUUUUAUUGUACAGCUGAGAUCUUCAUUACAUUACAACCUUAUGUUUUGCUUUUUUUUAAUUGAAAUUGGUGUUCUCUCUCUAGGUUAAUGGAUCAUCCUGGGAAUGGACUAUGGAAUGGCAAACUAACAGGGCACAUCACACAACUGGGUAUUGUCAAUCUACUUACAGACCACUUGCAUUGGGCAAGAGGGUUCUGCUGCGGAGACCAAGAAAAAGGAUGGGAACAUUGGGGACGCCUCAGCUGCCAUCGAUGAACGCAGCUCGGAACAGGCAAAGCUCCAUGCGAGGCUCCCCUGGCUGCCGAGCAUCUCUGAGAAGCCCAAAAUGAGAUGAGAUGAUGUCAUGGUGAUCGACAGUGCCACGCAGGUUAUGCCGGAGACCAUCAUGUUCCCUGUGAAGUUCUUCCAGUUCUUCACCUAGCUUCUGCCAGCAGCAAGCGAGGUCAUCUCCUUCUUAGACCAGUACUAAGGACCGCUGUUAUGUGGAUCCAUUUUACAUGCAAAUGUCGAGCUCAUCAUAUCGUGUUCGACCCAUGAACUGGAAGGAUUGCUUGCCAUUAUGUGGUAUAGUUGUCCUUUGAGAUAUAUUGUUGUUUGUAUGAAUUAUGAGCUUCUCUGUGUCUAAAUUUACUCAAAUAGUCUUCCAGAAAUCUUGUUUUUAUCCACUUUGGAGUAACUGUUCGUUGCUUGACACUUUGUUGUUAACCCUCAAUUAAAGUUAUUCCUAUAUUCAGUUUGCUAUA